rnacentral:rRNA from 1 species
ACGGUGACCUCAGGUCAGGCGGGAGCACCCGCUGAAUUUAAGCAUAU